AGUGUCGCGGAAGCCCAGCGGGUCGUGGACGAGGCCAUGACCGUGCUGCACGUGGCAUAGGCCGCCGCCGGCGACGACGACGGUGGCCGGGAGAUGGAGAGGCAUCAACAUCGCUCUCCACCGUCGGAGCAGCGUCGCUGAGCCUCUCCUCCCCGAGCGGCAUCAGCGUUGCUCCAGGCGGCGGGGAAGUUCCCCGUCGUCCAGACGGUCUACAAGGACUCCGGCGGCGGCAUGCUGUGACCGGUGCUUACGAAGACGAACUACGCAGACUAGAGCUCGGUCAUGAAGGUCAAGCUGCAGGCGCGACAGAUGUGGGAUGCGAUCGAGUACGGCGACAUCAACGACCACGAGGUCUGGCGUGCCCUUGAGGCGCUUCUUGCAGCCAUCCCAUCGGAGAUGCCAUACGUCCUUGCCAAUAAGCCCACCGGGAGGCCAUCGCCCAGAUGCGCGUAGGCGGUCCAUUCUCCAUAAGCUUCUUCACUAGAAUAAUCCAGCUUCAAUUGUGGAGAAACAAUAAUCUGUGCAGAUAUCUGCUGGUAAGCUAGCUUCCCAAUUAACACUACUAAGAUAAAAACCAACCAUAUUAGCACUAAAGAAUGAUGACGUCCAGUUAAGUAGAGCAUUCAUUCCUGAAACAGAAACAGAUCGCGAGAAACAGAAUAAAAUACACCAACUUCCUGAAACUAGAUGCAAUAGUUUAGUAUCACAAGGAAAUUUAAUCAAUGAGCGACGAUCUUGAAUUAGAGGCAGUUUAUUGCUGACUUCCGUAGACACCACCUCCAAUGCUGCCAAAUCCACAAAUAGGCCUAGGCAGUUCGGCCAGGUUGAGGCCCAUUUUUGUCUCUCCGAUCGAUCUGAUCAAGAGGACCUGGACCUGCAGCAGAAACUUAAUGCACCAAGCAUCCAAUCCUAUUAUUAAAAAAAAGCCCAAAAAAAAGGUAAAGAAGCCGGCCGGGCCGUAAGAUUGUUCGGCUGCACGGCCGCUCCCAUCCACCGGCCGCAUUCAAUUAGACGAUACAAGCUCCCAGCGCACCCACUUGCAGCUGAUCGGGCGGUCCCACGUGCAGCUGAUCAGAGAGAGCGGUGGGUAAUUAUCCAUCCUAUAAGGCACCAAUCAAACUUCCCUAAGGCCACCCCAAAAAUUGCACCCCGCAGUCAUAUCCAAACCAUUGUGUACUCCAGGAAUUGUACCCAAAAGAAACGAUUCCAUCAAAAUCGACGGCUUCUAACACUACCUACCGGACUUCAACGCGAUCGAACGGUUCAGCUCGUAAGGAUCCGCAGGCUUCAACGCGCCCCCUACUCCCCCGCGUCCCCCCGCGCGCGUCGCCCUGCCGCACCCGCGGUUCGAAUCCUGGGCCAUCUCUUUUUCCUUCUUUUCCCCCUUCUCUUCUCUCUUUUUUCUCCCCAUAUCUUUAUUCCCCUCACCGCGGCCACUCGCCCGCGCGCCCUCCAUACGCCGCGCCUCCCUCCCGACCCGCGCCUCCCUCACAUGUCGCCCCCGCCAGUGCCUCCCUGGUCGUGCCACCCCGCCGUUGGGAGGGGGCUUCCUCCCCCUCGCCUUCCCCUCCGGCAGCACCCCCAGCUCCGAUUUCCCCCAGUGCCCUAACCCUAGAAGGCCUAAAGCACUCCGUCCAGCGGCGCCUCCCCGGUCCGAUUUCCCUAGGCCGGCCGACCAGGUCCGUCGAGCCUCCCUCCGCCUCCCUCCGGUCCGAUUCCCCCGACCCUGGUGCCUCCCUACGCCGCUCCCUGCUGGACGAUCGCUGCCCCCACCCUGCUAGACGCCAUCGCCCCCUCCAGGAACAGACAAGGUACGAUGCCGGAGACAUCACUGCCGUGAGCUCUGCACAGGAUCCCACUGUCCGGCUGCUGGAUGGCCAAGGCCGUCUUGGGAGCAGUGUAUCUCAUAGAUUGUUGUACCAAGGAUAUUGCAUGCUCAAACAUGAGAAUUUGAAAGUCUCAUAUUUGUUAGUGAGCUUGCAUCCUGAUGGCUUCCAUUGAACACUAGAUCAGCGGGUAUGUUUCAUUGAACACCAGACCUGCAUCUUGGUGAUUUGCUGAUUUGUUCUAUGGUGAUUGUACUGCUUUUUAUUUGUUAAUUUACUUGACCUUUGGAUUAGGGACCGUGUGUUGCACAUAUUAUUUGAUUGACUGCAAGUCUUCAAUCUAGGAUAGUGACAAGGAAUUUGGAUGGUCUGAUACAAAUGCCACAUUUUGUGUGUUUAUUGUUAGUUGAUGGAAUGGGGUGUGCACAUAGCCAUUCAGGACAAGAUAGGAUCAGAGCUGAUAUGGGACCUCAAGAGAUUUGGAGCAAACUUAAAAGGUUAAAGCUUCAGGUUACUAUCGUGCUCAAGAUGUUUAGGCAAAAAUUGAUGUACCGGCACUACUAAUUCCUGUGCUUGAAGAAACAUUUUCCGGUAUAUCAUCUUGUAAAAACCAAUUUAGGGUUCAUUGCAAUAUGGAAAGCGUUUUUAUUCCUUUAUCUGAAUCAUUCAAUCAUCAAGCAAUGAGAGAAACUGAGUUGUGAUGGUAGAUUGUGAAAUCCUGUUACUCCAUAUAUGCUGCUCAACGUAAAAGGAAUAAAAACAAACAUAGCGUCUCAUGUAUAGCUAAUGUUGCUGUAGAUUUCAGGUUCUAGAGGGCUCCUGGGCUUGCCACUAUGUACUGCAGAUGCAUACUAUGCAUGGCAAAUGAUGAUCAAGCCCUGUCCACAUGCCAACAAGUUCCCCUUUUUACUGCUCUAAUCUGAUUGAGUUAAUAUUACUUGCCAUGGUCAGAGUUAAUGUUAAUUGCCGUGGUUUGGUCAAGGUAUCAAUUGUUAUGUAAUUCAAACUAGACAACUAUGUCAUCACUUCUGAACGUAGAAAUGCCAAUGAUCAAGGCCAUGUCAAUGGUUCAGUGUAUUGGUUGCUUCUUCUUGAAUAUUUGUCCAAUUAUAAACAUUUUAGUUGAGUUUCAGAAGUUCAAAAACAUAAAAUUGCAUUGACGCUGUUGCUCAAAUAUACCAUUUUGAUUUAUUUAGUGUAUAUUAUUAUUACACAUAAAUAUUACAUGUGUUGUUUUUUUAACCCGUACCGUUAGGAAGGGCCAACUUACUAGUGUCGAAAGGAGACGGGCGCCCAUUCAUUUCAUUCCCCCUCCUCUCUCGCUCCUCUGUAGGGUUAGUCUCUCUCUCCUCUUUCAUCGCUCGCAUCCACCGGCGAUUCACCUCCAUUGGCUCCCAUCCUCCAACAACAGCGCCAUCCUCUAGAUCCUGGCGGCCAUCUGCGGCGGCUUCUCAAGAGCUCUGGUAAGUGAUUCACCCCGCGCGCGUCGAGCAAACCCCCUGUUCGUCUUUUUGAUGUGCUUCCCCAUCGAUUUUGGUUGAGAUCAUCAUCGCAAGCAUCAGGAAUCCGUGGAGAUCCUCCAUCUGCUCCCAUCCUCCAACAUCUGCGACAUCCUCAGCAUCUCGGCGGGCAUCUGCAGCGGUUUCUUCGGCGAGCUCUGAUGUUGAUCUGGGUGCAGGCCGCCUCAUCUCUGUUGAGGUGGGUGUGGGGAUUGUAGGUUGACAUCAGGUGAGCGAACUUGUGCUGUAUCUGGCCGUUGUAAACAGGGGAUUGCCCUGCAUUUUUCACAUGGAUUUUCACAGCUUUUUUACUGAUUGGUUGAAUUAGCUUUAGAGGUAGGAGGGUGUGUAUGUGAUGACUGAUUUCUCUAGCUCCGUGCUGCCAUUUUUUACUGAUCGUAGUCGUUGUGUAGUAGUUUACACAUAGCUUGAACAAAAAUGGCUGAUAUGUGAAAGCUGUGAUGAGGGGCCUAUGCAGUAUUUUUUUUUCUCUUUUGCAAAUAUAUAUGAUAACAAGAGCUUCAUCCUUUUUUAAGCAGCAACCUAUUGUAUGCAGUAAGUGGUCAGUUUACAGUUAUAAUUGCUGCAAAAUUCAUUUAUAAUUGCAUAAGUACAAACAAUAUAAUUGCUUGCUCGCAUAAGUACACCAUACUCGUGUCCUUUUUCCUUCACCCCUUUUUUUAGUUGUAUGAAUCUGUUUGUAAUUAAAUCAGAGUUUGUAUAAGCACACCGUUCAUGCUUUUUAAGCAUUUGAUGGAUGUGUUUUAACCCCUCUUGUCUCCCACUCAGUACUAAAAUCAUCCUGGUGGCGGUAAUGUUUUUUGGUAACUUGCUACAAUGCCAAGAGGACAUAAGCAGCAACAUGGCCGCCCGCCAUCAUCUAACUUGGUGCCCCCACUCACCCCUCGAACAAAACUGUGUGAUCUCUCUUACAUAAUUUUUUUAUAUGAUUUUUUAAUCUAGUCAAUAAUAUUGUUUCAUAUUGGCAAAUUUCUAUAAUUCAUUAGGCAAUCAUAGGCAAUCGUUAUUCUAGCAACUAAAAUUGGUACUGCUAUGCGGAUGACUUUUUACUGAUAUGAAAUCAUAGCUCUGCUUAAAGUAAAUAUUUUGUGAAAAACACUUAACUCUACUUAAAGUACAGCUAAAUCUAAUCAUAGCUCUGCUUAAAGUAAAUAUUUUGCUGUAGGGAACUCCUCCACAGUUUUCAUUCAAAAAAAUAAUAUGGGAGGGAAUUUGGAAAUAUUAUGGUUCUUGAUUGGGGAAUAAACUACAUGGAAACGUUCAUUGGAAAUUUUUUCUGAUUUUAUCUUGCCGCCGGCUCCUGCUACUUCGGGGGCCAAGGGAAUCUGAGGGUGUCCUCAUCUCGAGAAGCUUUCAAUCAAGCACCUCCGCGGCCUUGCUGAGUCGGAGCACAUCAAGGCUAUGGAUCCGAGGGCGGAUCAAGGCUGCACUGGGGAGCCGCAGCAGCGGCUCUGAACCAUCACCCGACAACAAGCACAAGCAGCUGUCCAGCAGCGAGCUGCAACCUGCAAGCAUAAGCAGAGCUAUUUGCAAUGGCGUUGUUCACAGACGCAGCAUUAAGCUCGCCGAGCCUCAUUUACCGUCGGCACCAGGGAACAUCUAUAUGUGAUCCUCAUGAUGGUGAUCCAUCACUGGUGGUAGAGUGCUGGUACAAUUGCACCCUUGAGGACAUAGCUGGGGAGGACAAGAAGCGACGGCUCCCGGAAGGUGCAAAUCUUGUGCCUUUUCCAGUCCCUCUCUAUAGUAUCUGUUAAAAACAAUCCAAACUGACUUGAUGACUGUUAUAGAAGAUGGAACUUUGCUAUCCCCAUGUGUUUGUUGACUUCUGUUUUGUAUGUUAUUGGAGCCAUUUGACAGGCACUGGGACAAACAAUAGUGUGGUUCAGAAAAGCUCUAGCUGUUGAACCUGUCAAGGGGAACCUGCAGCUCAGUAUUACGAUGAGUCAUUUCCUCUGUCUUGCCUUCUGAUUGCGUGGCAAUAUAUUGUCAUAUGAACCUUCUUAUCUGGGGGUCUUGUUUUGCUAAAUGAUAUUUUAAUCAGUGAUCUAGGCAACCUAGUGCAUUUAUCCAGGCAAUUCUUCUGACUUCAUAUAUGCAAUGCAAUGCAUUUAUCUAGGCAAUUCUUCUAAUCUUUUCAAAAAAAAAAGUUCAAGCAACGUUUGUUUCCCAGAGUAUUUAGUCUUGGUGAUGUUUUACUCCAGAUACUAACUGCACUUGCUAUUCUUUCACUAUUUUAUGUUUCCUUUUCUCCUUUUUAGUCCCCAAAAGUGUGUUCAGAAGUUGGUUGAUAUGCUUUUCUUUUCUGCCUGCAAGUUUCUUCGGCAGAUCAACACUAUAACAUGCUCUACAUCUCUUUGAUGUUUGGUGGCCAGAAAGUUUAGAUCAUCGUCGGCAACAGUUUAGUUGCAGCUCAACCUUGAUUUUGUUUAUGUGUAACAUGGUAUUAGUAGUAGUAGCUCCAAACUUUUUGUUUGGUCAGUACAACAGUUGUGGCAAUCAUUAUUGUAUGUGGUAGUUUUGAAACAAUGUGAAUGUUUUGGAAUUUAGAUGGGGUGAACCUUUGUGAAUGUUCUAAUUUGCUUACAGUUUUUCAUAAUUUUGCUUA